rnacentral:rRNA from 1 species
UGGGGAAUUUUGGACAAUGGGCGAAAGCCUGAUCCAGCAAUGCCGCGUGUGUGAAGAAGGCCUUCGGGUUGUAAAGCACUUUUGUCCGGAAAGAAAUCCUUGGCUCUAAUACAGUCGGGGGAUGACGGUACCGGAAGAAUAAGCACCGGCUAACUACGUGCCAGCAGCCGCGGUAAUACGUAGGGUGCAAGCGUUAAUCGGAAUUACUGGGCGUAAAGCGUGCGCAGGCGGUUUGCUAAGACCGAUGUGAAAUCCCCGGGCUCAACCUGGGAACUGCAUUGGUGACUGGCAGGCUAGAGUAUGGCAGAGGGGGGUAGAAUUCCACGUGUAGCAGUGAAAUGCGUAGAGAUGUGGAGGAAUACCGAUGGCGAAGGCAGCCCCCUGGGCCAAUACUGACGCUCAUGCACGAAAGCGUGGGGAGCAAACAGGAUUAGAUACCCUGGUAGUCCACGCCCUAAACGAUGUCAACUAGUUGUUGGGGAUUCAUUUCUAGUAACGUAGCUAACGCGUGAAGUUGACCGCCU